rnacentral:rRNA from 1 species
AUUGAACGCUGGCGGAAUGCUUUACACAUGCAAGUCGAACGGCAGCACGGGGCAACCUGGUGGCGAGUGGCGAACGGGUGAGUAAUACAUCGGAACAUGCCCAAUCGUGGGGGAUAACGUAGCGAAAGUUACGCUAAUACCGCAUACGAUCUACGGAUGAAAGCGGGGGAUCGCAAGACCUCGCGCGAUUGGAGCGGCCGAUGUCAGAUUAGGUAGUUGGUGGGGUAAAGGCUCACCAAGCCGACGAUCUGUAGCUGGUCUGAGAGGACGACCAGCCACACUGGGACUGAGACACGGCCCAGACUCCUACGGGAGGCAGCAGUGGGGAAUCUUGCGCAAUGGGCGAAAGCCUAACGCAGCAACGCCGCGUGGGGGAUGAAGGCUCUCGGGUUGUAAACCCCUUUCAGCAGGGACGAAUCAAGACGGUACCUGCAGAAGAAGCCCCGGCUAACUACGUGCCAGCAGCCGCGGUAAU